rnacentral:rRNA from 1 species
UACGUAGGGGGCUAGCGUUGUCCGGAAUCAUUGGGCGUAAAGCGCGUGUAGGCGGUCCGGUAAGUCCGCUGUGAAAGUCGGGGGCUCAACCCUCGGAUGCCGGUGGAUACUGUCGGGCUUGAGUACGGAAGAGGCGAGUGGAAUUCCUGGUGUAGCGGUGAAAUGCGUAGAUAUCAGGAGGAACACCAAUUGCGAAGGCAGCUCGCUGGGACGUUACUGACGCUGAGACGCGAAAGCGUGGGGAGCAAACAGG